CGGCAGGCUUACACAUGCAAGUCGAGCGGGGGAAGGUAGCUUGCUACUGGACCUAGCGGCGGACGGGUGAGUAAUGCUUAGGAAUCUGCCUAUUAGUGGGGGACAACAUCUCGAAAGGGAUGCUAAUACCGCAUACGUCCUACGGGAGAAAGCAGGGGAUCUUCGGACCUUGCGCUAAUAGAUGAGCCUAAGUCGGAUUAGCUAGUUGGUGGGGUAAAGGCCUACCAAGGCGACGAUCUGUAGCGGGUCUGAGAGGAUGAUCCGCCACACUGGGACUGAGACACGGCCCAGACUCCUACGGGAGGCAGCAGUGGGGAAUAUUGGACAAUGGGGGGAACCCUGAUCCAGCCAUGCCGCGUGUGUGAAGAAGGCCUUAUGGUUGUAAAGCACUUUAAGCGAGGAGGAGGCUACUCUAGUUAAUACCUAGGGAUAGUGGACGUUACUCGCAGAAUAAGCACCGGCUAACUCUGUGCCAGCAGCCGCGGUAAUACAGAGGGUGCGAGCGUUAAUCGGAUUUACUGGGCGUAAAGCGUGCGUAGGCGGCUUAUUAAGUCGGAUGUGAAAUCCCCGAGCUUAACUUGGGAAUUGCAUUCGAUACUGGUGAGCUAGAGUAUGGGAGAGGAUGGUAGAAUUCCAGGUGUAGCGGUGAAAUGCGUAGAGAUCUGGAGGAAUACCGAUGGCGAAGGCAGCCAUCUGGCCUAAUACUGACGCUGAGGUACGAAAGCAUGGGGAGCAAACAGGAUUAGAUACCCUGGUAGUCCAUGCCGUAAACGAUGUCUACUAGCCGUUGGGGCCUUUGAGGCUUUAGUGGCGCAGCUAACGCGAUAAGUAGACCGCCUGGGGAGUACGGUCGCAAGACUAAAACUCAAAUGAAUUUGACGGGGGCCCGCACAAGCGGUGAGCAUGUGG
rnacentral:rRNA from 1 species